rnacentral:rRNA from 1 species
AGAGUUUGAUCCUGGCUCAGGAUGAACGCUAGCGGCAGGCUUAACACAUGCAAGUCGAGGGGGAAGGUUCUUGCGGAAUACACGACGACACCGGCGCACGGGUGAGUAACGCGUUUGUAACCUACCCUUAACUGGGAGAUAGCCCGAAGAAAUUCGGAUUAAUAUCCUAUAAUAUUCAGUUUUGGCAUCAUAACUGGAUUAAAGCUCCGGCGGUUAAUGAUGGGUAUGCGUGACAUUAGCUUGUUGGUGAGGUAACGGCUCACCAAGUCCACGAUGUCUAGGGGGUCUUAAAGGAUGAUCCCCCACACUGGUACUGAGACACGGACCAGACUCCUACGGGAGGCAGCAGUGAGGAAUAUUGGUCAAUGGGCGAAAGCCUGAACCAGCCAUCCCGCGUGAAGGAUGACAGCCCUACGGGUUGUAAACUUCUUUUGUAUAGGAAGAAAAAUCUCUACGUGUAGAGAUCUGACGGUACUGUACGAAUAAGCAUCGGCUAACUCCGUGCCAGCAGCCGCGGUAAUACGGAGGAUGCAAGCGUUAUCCGGAUUUAUUAGGUUUAAAGGGUGUGUAGGCGGAAUAAUAAGUCAGUGGUGAAAUCCUGCAGCUUAACUGUAGAACUGCCAUUGAAACUGUCAUUCUUGAGUAUAGUUGAGGUGGGCGGAAUGUGUCAUGUAGCGGUGAAAUGCAUAGAGAUGACACAGAACACCGAUUGCGUAGGCAGCUCACUAAACUAUCACUGACGCUGAGGCACGAAAGCGUGGGGAGCGAACAGGAUUAGAUACCCUGGUAGUCCACGCCGUAAACGAUGUUCACUCGUUGUUGGCAAUACACCGUCAGCGACUAAGCGAAAGUGAUAAGUGAACCACCUGGGGAGUACGAUCGCAAGGUUGAAACUCAAAGGAAUUGACGGGGGCCCGCACAAGCGGAGGAGCAUGUGGUUUAAUUCGAUGAUACGCGAGGAACCUUACCUGGGCUUAAAUGUUUAAUGACCUCCCGUGAAAACGGGAUUCUCUUCGGAGCAUUUUACAAGGUGCUGCAUGGUUGUCGUCAGCUCGUGCCGUGAGGUGUCGGGUUAAGUCCCAUAACGAGCGCAACCCCUAUUCUUAGUUGCCAUCAGAUAAUGCUGGGGACUCUAAGGAAACUGCCUACGCAAGUAGUGAGGAAGGUGGGGAUGACGUCAAAUCAGCACGGCCCUUAUGUCCAGGGCUACACACGUGCUACAAUGGUCGGUACAGAGGGUCGCUACCUGGUGACAGGAUGCUAAUCUCAAAAACCGAUCUCAGUUCGGAUCGAAGUCUGCAACUCGACUUCGUGAAGCUGGAUUCGCUAGUAAUCGCAUAUCAGCAAUGGUGCGGUGAAUACGUUCCCGGGCCUUGUACACACCGCCCGUCAAGCCAUGGAAGCUGGGGGUACCUGAAGUCUGUGACCGCAAGGAGCGGCCUAGGGUAAAACUAGUGACUGGGGCUAAGUCGUAACAAGGUAGCC